rnacentral:rRNA from 1 species
UAGUUGGUGGUAUGAGUUGUCUGGUUGAUUCCGUUAACGAGCGAGAUGGUUUUGUUUUACGGAUUGUGUAAGCAGUAGGGAGUUAGCCGCAAUAACAGGU